rnacentral:rRNA from 1 species
CGGCACGGGUGCGUAACGCGUAUGCAACCUACCAUCAACAGGGGGAUAACACUGAGAAAUUGGUACUAAUACCCCAUAAUAUCUCAUGCGGCAUCGCAUGGGGUUGAAAACUCCGGUGGUUGAUGAUGGGCAUGCGUUGUAUUAGCUGGUUGGUGAGGUAACGGCUCACCAAGGCGACGAUACAUAGGGGGACUGAGAGGUUAACCCCCCACAUUGGUACUGAGACGCGGACCAAACUCCUACGGAAGGCAGCAG